AUGUUCUGACUGUAGUAAAUAAUAAGCUUAUUGAUGCAUUAAAUUCCUCCGUUCCUCGUGAAUUCAAAUAAAACAAGACUGCAGCCAUAUUUUAAAUGGGGACUGGUUCGUCCAAAAAGCUUAAACACGAUCUCAAUGUCAGCGGUGUGAGGGAAGUUCAGCUAAAAUCACAGGCUUCCCUCGAUCAUAGGAUCCAAAGUAAACAACGAACGAAUGCGUCAAACUUGCAAACGUGUGACUCUCCUACUAAACUCCCGCCGAAAAUCAUGGAGAAUCCAGUCAGUGCACCACAGGGUAAUAUAGAAAAACACUUCUCUGAGGUGCACCAAAGUAUUGAACAGCUAAAGCGGUGCUUACAGGGACCACAAGGGCUUGGAAGCAAAGAGGCUGUUUCAGCGGCCACACAGUUGGUUGCUUCCUCUUGUGAGCUAGAAGCAGAGGAAAAGAAAGUUUCUGAUUUUCUCAUUUCAGAGGGAUUGGCUUUGGUUCUUCUAGAAAUAUUUACUGCCUUUAAUAAUGUAUUUCCCAAAGGGUGUUCCGUUGAUCGCGAAAAAGGAACCACUGGUGACUCAGAGAGUGUCCAUCUCGCGCAAGAUGUUGUAAACUUGCUUGCGGGCGCGACUGUGAAUUUCACAGAUCUUAAUGAUUUCGCCGAAGAAUGUGGGAAACAAGGACUUAUACCAAUAUUCAUUGGUAUGAUUGAUCCUCUGAAGGAUUCUAUCCCAGAUGUUAAACAAUAUGAGGAUCCUGAAACCAAAACAAUCUCGCAAUUCACAGUCCGUGCAAGGCUGCUCUCUAGGAUAAUUGGAGCUUUGGCAAACCUUGCAAAGCCAGCAGUAAACAAAAGGCAUUUUAACAAAUGCAAUGCUGUUGCUACACUUGUACCAUUGAUGAAGUCUCCUGUUUAUGCUUAUGUAAUCAAGACUUUGUUCUGUAUUGUUUUUCUUCUUGAUGAAGAUAACAAUGAACUUUGUAUGGCAGGAUCAGAACCCAUUAAACAUAUUCUUUCAAUGCUUGACAAGGCCUUAAUAUCAGAAUCACGUCAAUACCUUGGCUGGACAACCUCUGAAAUAGCUCUCCUUCUGUCAAAAAUGGCUGCAAACACACAAAACAGUAUCCAGAUCUGUCAGUAUGGUGGAAUCGAAAUGUUGGUCAAGAUGCUUCAGAGCUCUGACAGCAGCCAGGAGAAGUCAUCUGCAACCAAAGUGCUGUGGAUGUUGUCAUUUGAGGCCACCAACAGAGAACUGAUGUCAUCAAAUGCUCAAGCCAUGAACCUUCUCAACAGCCUUCAAACAAGUGAUAACAAGGAAGUAUCCCAAAACUCAAAAGGAGUGUUGUGGGAAUUGAGAAGACACAAAAAUCAAAUCAGAGCCCUAUCAGAUAAGCAAUCAACACUAAGUGAAAUCUGUGAUGAAGAAGAUAUUGAGGAUGAAGUAAUGUCCAAUAUAUCUGCCCCAAAAAUGCGAAAAGCCAAGAAAAAGUCCUCAGCCAUUGAAAGAAGCAGUUUUGAUAUUGAUCCAGCACCACAAUCAAUCUUCGCAGUAUCAAGGCAAUCUGCCCCUCCCCCGAAGCCCGUAGCAAGGGCAAGUGCACCUCCGGCUCCACCCCUCCCAGGGGGGAGUGCACCCCCACCCCCACCUCCUCCCGGGGGGAGUGUACCACCACCCCCGCCCCUUCCAGGGGGGACAUGCUCCAGUGGGCCACCCCCUCCUCCGCCACCACCUACCUCAAUAGGACCCAAACCAUCUGGACAUCACGUGAUGUUAAGUUACCAAUGGGGUUACCAGGAUGUAGUGUUGAAGGUCCGUGAUGAAUUGCGUGCGGCAGGCUACAAGGUGUGGAUCGAUGUUGAGCAGAUGGAAGGGUCCACUCUAGAAGCCAUGGCCAGCGCCGUUGAAAAUGCUGCUGCGGUACUGAUGUGUGUUUCCCGCGCUUACAAGGAAAGCCCUAACUGCAGAUCAGAGGCCGAGUACAGCUUUCAGCUACGCAAAGACAUCAUUCCUCUGAUGAUGGAGCCACAGUACAAACCAGACGGCUGGUUGGGAAUCAUUGUGGGCGCCAAGCUUUGGAUGGACUUCAGAAGUAAAGACGUCACAUCUUCCGCCGUUCAGGGACUUAUCAAAGAGCUUGGUCAGCGAGGGAGGCCAGCGAAAAAAGGUACGCCUGUUAUUCGGGAUGAACUAAAGGAAACUCUGCUUCGUUACAAGAAGAACCAUCGCAAAUCAUAUGUGUACAUCUCCGAGUGCGAGAAGAUCAUCCGUUCACUGAGAUCCUCUCUAGCUGACAAUGAUAUCGCAGCCUCAGCUGUGUAUUGGCGCGCGGACGAGCUUAGUGGAUUCUACAGGAAGUUAGACGAAACUAAUGAAGACUACCAGAUUGUUAUUCAGUUCCUUUUGGAUGUUGAUGCCCCUAAAUUACUGGUGGAUUACAUCAGGAUUCUGAAGCAGACUUUUCCAGAUGCAAGCACGUACGAUAGGGAGAAACCAGGAGGAAAAGAUGUGGAGGCGCAGGUGAAGUGGGCCCAGGAUGUCUUAUUCUCUGUCUCGUGUUCCAUUCUUAAUUUCACCGACAAGAGUGACGACUUCUGUCUAGCAUGCGCAGAGACCGGGGCAGUGCCAAUACUGUUCGAGUUGGCUUUGCAGCUCCGCACCGCAGCAAACGACACUAAAGACAGUACGGAUUUCUCCCGUCGUGGUGAGAUUCUCUCCCAUGUUCUUGGCGCUCUUCAUAACUUGUCCCGCCGACCCGCAGUCAAGAGAUUUUUCGAGGAGAGUAACGGUGUCAAGCAUCUGUUGUUGUUCAUGAAGUGUGGGGUCACGUACUUUGUAAUGAACGCAUUGCUAUGUUUAGCCUACCUUGUGGACGAACGGAACAAUGAUCUCAUCAUGGCCGACGAAGAGCCAAUCACGUUUCUGCUGCGCAUGUUGUCUUCUGCUAUCAGCGACAGUCGCCGGCAACAUCUGGGAUUUGCAGCCUGGGAAAUCGCGUGUGGGAUUGGUCGAGUGGCCAGCAAUGACAAGAACAAGAGACUGAUAGGAAGACACGAUGGAGUAUCCAUAUUAUCAACGCUAGUAAAAGAGGCCAAAAAUGAUGCUGAGCGAGUUUACGGACUGCAGGCCCUGUACAUGCUGUCUUUUGAUGGAGAAAAUAAGAAAAUACUUUGUAAAGACAAAGCCACCGUGAACUUACUUCGCAACCUAAAACAGAGUGGACACAAGGAGGUGCAAAAAGCUGCUGUUGGGAUUCUUUGGGAGAUCGAAGGAAAAGUUGGGCGGGACAGAAACGAAGAUUCCCAACAGCACAUCAUGAUAAGCUACCAGUGGGACAACCAGAAGGCCAUGUUGGCCGUUAACAAACGUCUCAAAGAAGCUGGCCACAAAGUGUGGAUGGACGUGGAGCAAAUGGGGGGAUCUACGCUUGAGGCAAUGGCGAGGGCGGUAGAAAAUGCGUCAGUUAUCCUCAUCGCUAUGUCUCAGAGAUACCAGGACAGUCCAAACUGCAGAUCGGAGGCGGAGUAUGCCUUUCAGCGCCGUAAAAAGAUCGUCCCCCUCAUGAUGGAGCAAGACUACCGUCCAGAUGGCUGGCUUGGAAUGAUCUUGGGUGCCAAGUUAUGGAUGGAUUUCAGAGAGAGUGUGGAUACUGGUAUUGUCCAUCUGAUGAAGGAGUUACAAUACAAUCAAACAGCAGCACUGCAACAGCCACAUGACCCUGUUACGGUAGAUACAACUACAGUGAUCAGUUCGCCUCCUGAUAAAGAGGACGGACCACCUGGGCCGACAGAUGUAGUAGAUCGGCCGGACGUAUCAAAGUGGAAGAAAGAGGAUGUUGCCAAGUGGCUAAGUGACAUUGGUUUAAGUUCUUCGAACAAAGUUCGCAAGAAGUUGGAUGGUUCUAUGCUAAUCUUGCUCUACAGACUGAAACAAGAGAGCCCCGAGUUUUACUACGCGUCAGUCAAGAAGGACAUGGAUUUUCCGACUGUUAUUGAGGAGAAAAUGCAUUGAAAGGACCUUUUGAGCCCUCUCCUGUUAAAACCCUGGCUAUGCCGCUGAUUCUGGGUGGCUGAUGAGGUGACAUGUGAUUCUGGAUGGAUUAUGGAGUGAUAUGAGAUGGUGAAUGUCUGAUUACGUGAAACGGGAUGCUGAUUGACUGCUGACGUGACAUCGGAUGCUGGAUGACUCAGGAGGUAAAAUAACAUUAAAUGAUGCUGGGUGACUGAUAAAGUAACAUGGAAUGCUGGGUGACUGAUGAGGUAACAUAAGAUCCUAGACGACUGAUAGGUUGUCUGGGAAUGCGUGAAUGACUGAUGAGGUGACAUAGAAUGCUCGGUGACUGAUGAGGUGAGAUAAUAUGCUGGAUGACUGAUGGCCAUGAGAAGAACCUAAUAUGCUGACAAAAUGACAUUUAGGUGCUGGAAGACUGAUGAGGUCAAAUGAGGUUUUGAAUGACUGAUGAGGUAACAUUGGAUCCUGAAUUAGUGACGAGGUGUUAUGGUGGGUUGGAUGACUGACGAGGUGACGUGGGAUGCUGGAUGAUUGAUGAGUUGACAUAAGAUGCUAGAUGACUAAUAUGUUGACUGGGGAUGUGUGGAUGACUAAUGAGAUUUCAUGGGAGUGACAUAGGUCGCUAGAUGAUUGAUGAUGUAACAGAUGAGGUUUCAUAAGAUGCUGGGUGACUGAUAAGGUGACAUAAGAUCCUAGAUAACUUAUAGGGUGUCUGGGAACGCGUGGAUGACUGAUGAGGUGACAUAGAAUGCGUGGAUAACUGAUGAGGCAACAUAGAAUGCGUGGAUAACUGAUGAGGUCACAUCGAAUGCGUGGAUAACUGAUGAGGUGACAGAAUGCGUGGAUAACUGAUUAGGUGACAAAGAAUGCUCGGUGACUGAUGAUAGGUGACAUAAGAUGCUGGAUGACGGAUAGGGUGGCAUGGGAUGCCUGAUGACUCAUAGUGUGACGGGAUGUGUAGAUGACUUAUGAGGUGUCAGGGGAUGCUGGAUGAUUGAUGAGAUAACAUAAGGUGUUGGUUAACUGAUGAGGUGACAUGAGAUGCUGGAUGACUGAUGAGUUGACAUGAGGUGCUGAAUGACUGAUGAGGUGACAUGGGGUGCUGAAUGACUGAUGAGGUGACAUGGGGUGCUGAAUGCCUGAUAAGGUGACAUUCGAUCCUGAAUUAGUGAUGAGAUGACAUGAGAUGCUGAAUGACUGAUGAGUUGACAUAAGAAGCUGAAUGACUGAUGAGGUGCUGAAUGCCUGAUGAGUUGACAUGGGGUGCUAAAUGACUGAUGAGGUGACAGGAGAUGCUGGAUGGCUAAUGAGGUCACAUUGGAUCCUGAAUUAGUGAUGAUGUGACAUGAGAUGCUGAAUGACUGAUGAAGUGACAUGAGGUGCUGAAUGCCUGAUGAGGUGACAUUCGAUUCUGAAUUAGUGAUGAGGUGACAUGAGAUGCUGGAAGACUGAUGAGUUGACAUAAGAUGUUGGAUGACUGAUGACAUUAGAUGCCGAAUGAUUGAUGUGGUCACAUGAGAUGCUGAAUGACUGAUGAGAUAAAAAAGGAUGCUGCAUGACUAAUGAGGUGACAUGAGGUACUGAAUGGCUGAUGAGGUGACAUUGGAUCCUGAAUUAGUGAUGAGGUGACAUGAGAUGCUGAAUAACUGAUGAGGUGAAAAAGAUACCGAAUGAUUGAUGAGGUCACAUGAGAUGCUGAAUGACUGAUGAGGUGACAAGAGAUGCCGAAUGACUGAUGAGUUGACAUAAGAUGCUGAAUGACUGAUGAGGUCACAUAAAGUGCUGAAUGCCUGAUGAGGUGACAUUCGAUCCUAAAUUAGUGAUGAGGUGACAUGAGAUGCUGGAAGACUGAUAACUUGACAUAAGAUGCUAGAUGACUGAUGAGUUGACAUUAGAUGCGGAAUGAUUGAUGAGGUCACAUGAGGUGCUGAAUGACUGAUGAGGUGACAUGGUCUGCUGAAUUACAGAUGAGGUGACAUGAGAUGCUGGAUGACUAAUGAGUUGACAUAAGAAGCUGAAUGACUGAUGAGGUGACAUAAGAUGCUGGAUGACUGAUGAUGUGACAUGAGGUGCUGAAUGACCGAUGAGGUGACAUUCGAUCCUGAAUUAGUGAUGUGGUGACAUGAGAUGCUGGAUGACUGAUGAGUUGACAUAAGAUGCUGAAUGACUGAUGAGGUGCUGGAUGUAAUGACUGAUGAGGUCACAUGAGGUGCUUAAUGCCUGAAAAGGUGACAUUCGAUCCUAAAUUAGUGAUGAGGUGACAUGGUCUGCUGAAUGACUGAUGAGGUGACAUAAGAUGCUAGAUGACUGAUGAGUUGACAUUAGAUGCGGAAUGACUGAUGGGGUCACAUGAGGUGCUGGAUGACUGAUGAGGUAACAUGAGAUGCUGGAUGACUAAUGAGUUGACAUAAGAAGCUUAAUGACUGAUAAGGUGACAUAAGAUGCUGUAUGACUGAUGAUGUGACAUGAGGUGCUGAAUGACUGAUGAGGUGACAUUCGAUCCUGAAUUAGUGAUGAGGUGACAUGAGGUGCUGGAUGUAAUGACUGAUGAGGUCAGAUGAGGUGCUGAAUGCCUGAUAAGGUGACAUCCGAUCCUAAAUUAGUGAUGAGGUGACAUGAGAUGCUGGAAGACUGAUGAGUUGACAUAAGAUGCCGAAUGAUUGAUGAGGUCACAUGAGGUGCUGAAUGAAUGAUGAGGUGACAUGGUCUGCUGAAUGACUGAUGAGGUGACAUAAAAUGCUAGAUGCAUGAUGAGUUGACAUUAGAUGCGGAAUGAUUGAUGGGGUCACAUGAGGUGCUGGAUGACUGAUGAGGUGACAUGGUCUGCUGAAUUACAGAUGAGGUAACAUAAGAUGCUGGAUGACUGAUGAUUUGUCAUGAGGUGCUGAUUAACUGAUGAGGUGACAUUCGAUCCUGAAUUAAUGAUGAGGUGACAUGAGAUGUUGGAUGACUGAUGAGGUGACAUAAGAUGCUGGAUGACUGAUGAUGUGACAUGAGUUUCUGAAUGACUGAUGAGGUGACAUUCGAUCCUGAAUUAGUGAUGAGGUGACAUGAGAUGCUGGAUGACUGAUGAGUUGACAUAAGAUGCUAAAUGACUGAUGAGGUGACAUAAGAUGCUGGAUGACUGAUGAGUUGACAUAGGAUGCUGAAUGACUGAUGAGGUCACAUAAAGUGCUUAAAGCAUGAUGAGGUGACAUUCGAUCCUAAAUUAGUGAUGAGGUGACAUGAGAUGCUGGAAGACUGAUAACUUUACAUAAGAUGACUGAUGAGUUGACAUUAGAUGCGGAAUGAUUGAUGAGGUCACAUGAGGUGCUGAAUGACUGAUGAGGUGACAUGGUCUGCUAAAUUACAGAUGAGGUGACAUGAGAUACUGGAUGACUAAUGAGUUGACAUAAGAAGCUGAAUGACUGAUGAGGUGACAUAAGAUGCUGGAUGACUGAUGAUGUGACAUGAGGUGCUGAAUGACUGAUGAGGUGACAUUCGAUCCUGAAUGAGUGAUGUGGUGACAUGAGAUGCUGGAUGACUGAUGAGUUGACGUAAGAUGCUGAAUGACUGAUGAGGUGACAUGAGGUGCUGGAUGUAAUGACUGAUGAGUUGACAUAAGAUGCCGAAUGAUUGAUGAGGUCACAUGAGAUGCUGGAUGACUGAUGAGGUGACAUAAGAUGCUGAAUGACUGAUGAUGUGACAUUCGAUCCUGAAUUUAUAAUGAGGUGACAUGAGAUGUUGGAUGACGGAUGAGGUGACAUAAGAUGCUGGAUGACUGAUGAUUUGUCAUGAGGUGCUGAAUGACUGAUGAGGUGACAUUCGAUCCUGAAUUAAUGAUGAAGUGACAUGAGAUGUUGGAUGACUGAUGAGGUGACAUAAGAUGCUGUAUGACUGAUGAUGUGACAUGAGGUGCUGAAUGACUGAUGAGGUGACAUUCGAUCCUGAAUUAGUGAUGAGGUGACAUGAGGUGCUGGAUGUAAUGACUGAUGAGGUCAGAUAAGGUGCUGAAUGCCUGAUAAGGUGACAUCCGAUCCUAAAUUAGUGAUGAGGUGACAUGAGAUGCUGGAAGACUGAUGAGUUGACAUAAGAUGCCGAAUGAUUGAUGAGGUCACAUGAGGUGCUGAAUGAAUGAUGAGGUGACAUGGUCUGCUGAAUGACUGAUGAGGUGACAUAAGAUGCUAGAUGCAUGAUGAGUUGACAUUAGAUGCGGAAUGAUUGAUGGGGUCACAUGAGGUGCUGGAUGACUGAUGAGGUGACAUGGUCUGCUGAAUUACAGAUGAGGUAACAUAAGAUGCUGGAUGACUGAUGAUUUGUCAUGAGGUGCUGAUUGACUGAUGAGGUGACAUUCGAUCCUGAAUUAAUGAUGAGGUGACAUGAGAUGUUGGAUGACUGAUGAGGUGACAUGAGUUUCUGAAUGACUGAUGAGGUGACAUUCGAUCCUGAAUAAGUGAUGAGGUGACAUGAGAUGCUGGAUGACUGAUGAGUUGACAUAAGAUGCUGAAUGACUGAUGAGGUGACAUAAGAUGCUGGAUGACUGAUGAGUUGACAUAGGAUGCUGAAUGACUGAUGAGGUCACAUAAAGUGCUGAAAGCAUGAUGAGGUGACAUUCGAUCCUAAAUUAGUGAUGAGGUGACAUGAGAUGCUGGAAGACUGAUAACUUUACAUAAGAUGCUAGAUGACUGAUGAGUUGACAUUCGAUCCUAAAUUAUUGAUGAGGUGAAAUAAGAUGCUAGAAGACUGAUGAGUUGACAUAAGAUGCUAUAUGACUGAUGAGUUGACAUUAAAUGCGGAAUGAUUGAUGAGGUCACAUGAGAUGCUGGAUGACUGAUGAGGUGACAUGGGGUGCUGAAUGACUGAUGAGGUGACAUGGGGUGCUGGAUGACUGAUGAGGUGACAUUACAUUCUGAAUUAGUGAUGAGGUGACAUGAGAUGCUGGAUGACUGAUGAGGUGACAUAAGAUGCUGAAUGACUGAUUGGUGACAUGAGGUGCUGGAUGUAAUGACUGAUGAGGUGACAUGAGAUGCUGUAAGACUGAUGAGUUGACAUAAGAUGCCGAAUGAUUGAUGAGGUCACAUGAGGUGCUGAAUGACUGAUGAGGUGAUAUGGUCUGCUGAAUGACUGAUGAGGUGAUAUGAGAUGCUGGAUGACUGAUGAGGUGACAUAAGAUGCUGAAUGACUGAUGAUGCGACAUUCGAUCCUGAAUUAAUAAUGAGGUGACAUGAGAUGUUGGAUGACUUAUGAGGUGACAUAAGAUGCUGGAUGACUGAUGUUUUGUCAUGAGGUGCUGAAUGACUGAUGAGGUGACAUUCGAUCCUGAAUUAAUGAUGAGGUGACAUGAGAUGUUGGAUGACUGAUGAAGUGACAUAAGAUGCUGGAUGACUGAUGAUGUGACAUGAGGUGCUGAAUGACUGAUGAGGUGACAUUCGAUCCUGAAUUAGUGAUGAGGUGACAUGAGAUGCUGGAUGACUGAUGAGUUGACAUAAGAUGCUGAAUGACUGAUGAGGUGACAUAAGAUGCUGGAUGACUGAUGAGUUGACUUAUGAUGCUGAAUGACUGAUGAGAUCACAUGAGGUGCUGAAUGCCUGAUGAGGUGACAUUCGAUCCUAAAUUAUUGAUGAGGUGACAUAAGAUGCUGGAAGACUGAUGAGUUGACAUAAGAUGCUAGAUAACUGAUGAGUUGACAUUAGAUGCGGAAUGAUUGAUGAGGUCACAUGAGAUGCUGGAUGACUGAUGAGGUGACAUGGGGUGCUGAAUGACUGAUGAGGUGACAUGGGGUGCUGGAUGACUGAUGAGGUGACAUUACAUUCUGAAUUAGUGAUGAGGUGACAUGAGAUGCUGGAUGACUGAUGAAGUGACAUAAGAUGCUGAAUGACUGAUUGGUGACAUGAGGUGCUGGAUGUAAUGACUGAUGAGGUGACAUGAGAUGCUGUAAGACUGAUGAGUUGACAUAAGAUGCCGAAUGAUUGAUGAGGCCACAUGAGGUGCUGAAUGACUGAUGAGGUGAUAUGGUCUGCUGAAUGACUGAUGAGGUGAUAUGAGAUGCUGGAUGACUGAUGAGGUGACAUAAGAUGCUGUAUGACUGAUGAUGUGACAUUCGAUCCUGAAUUAAUAAUUAGGUGACAUGAGAUGUUGGAUGACUUAUGAGGUGACAUAAGAUGCUGGAUGACUGAUGUUUUGUCAUGAGGUGCUGAAUGACUGAUGAGGUGACAUUCGAUCCUGAAUUAAUGAUGAGGUGACAUAAGAUGCUGGAUGACUGAUGAUGUGACAUGAGGUGCUGAAUGACUGAUGAGGUGACAUUCGAUCCUGAAUUAGUGAUGAGGUGACAUGAGAUGCUGGAUGACUGAUGAGUUGACAUAAGAUGCUGAAUGACUGAUGAGGUGACAUAAGAUGCUGGAUGACUGAUGAGUUGACUUAUGAUGCUGAAUGACUGAUGAGAUCACAUGAGGUGCUGAAUGCCUGAUGAGGUGACAUUCGAUCUUAAAUUAUUGAUGAGGUGACAUAAGAUGCUGGAAGACUGAUGAGUUGACAUAAGAUGCUAGAUAACUGAUGAGUUGACAUUAGAUGCGGAAUGAUUGAUGAGGUCACAUGAGAUGCUGGAUGACUGAUGAGGUGACAUGGGGUGCUGAAUGACUGAUGAGGUGACAUGGGGUGCUGGAUGACUGAUGAGGUGACAUUACAUUCUGAAUUAGUGAUGAGGUGACAUGAGAUGCUGGAUGACUGAUGAGGUGACAUAAGAUGCUGAAUGACUGAUUGGUGACAUGAGGUGCUGGAUGUAAUGACUGAUGAGGUGACAUGAGAUGCUGUAAGACUGAUGAGUUGACAUAAGAUGCCGAAUGAUUGAUGAGGUCACAUGAGGUGCUGAAUGACUGAUGAGGUGAUAUGGUCUACUGAAUGACUGAUAAGGUGACAUGAGAUGCUGGAUGACUGAUGAGGUGACAUAAGAUGCUGAAUGACUGAUGAUGUGACAUUCGAUCCUGAAGUAAUAAUGAGGUGACAUGAGAUGUUGGAUGACUGAUGAGGUGACAUAAGAUGCUGGAUGACUGAUGUUUUGUCAUGAGGUGCUGAAUGACUGAUGAGGUGACAUUCGAUCCUGAAUUAAUGAUGAGGUGACAUGAGAUGUUGGAUGACUGAUGAGGUGACAUAAGAUGCUGAAUGACUGAUGAGGUGACAUAAGAUGCUGGAUGACUGAUGAUGUGACAUGAGGUGCUGAAUGACUGAUGAGGUGACAUUCGAUCCUGAAUUAGUGGUGAGGUGACAUGAGAUGCUGGAUGACUGAUGAGUUGACAUAAGAUGCUGAAUGACUGAUGAGGUGACAUAAGAUGCUUGAUGACUGAUGAGUUGACAUAGGAUGCUGAAUGACUGAUGAGAUCACAUGAGGUGCUGAAUGCCUGAUGAGGUGACAGUCGAUCCUAAAUUAUUGAUGAGGUGACAUAAGAUGCUAGAAGACUGAUAAGUUGACAUAAGAUGCUAGAUGACUGAUGAGUUGACAUUAGAUGCGGAAUGAUUGAUGAGGUCACAUGAGAUGCUGGAUGACUGAUGAGGUGACAUGGGGUGCUGAAUGACUGAUGAGGUGACAUUACAUUCUGAUUUAGUGAUGAGGUGACAUGAGAUGCUGGAUGACUGAUGAGGUGACAUAGGGUGCUCUAUGACUGAUAAGGUGACAUAAGGUGCUGAAUGACGGAUGAGGUGACCUUGGAUCCUGAACUAGGGAUGAGGUGCUAUGGUGUGUUGAUCACAAAUGAGUUGACA